rnacentral:misc_RNA from 1 species
GAUGAAGAACGAGCGAAAUGCGAUAAGUAAUGUGAAUUGCAGAAUUCAGUGAAUCAUCGAAUCUUUGAACGCACAUUGCGCCCCCUGGUAUUCCGGGGGGCAUGCCUGUUCGAGCGUCAUUUCACCACUCAAGCCUCGCUUGGUAUUGGGCAACGCGGUCCGCCGCGUGCCUCAAAUCGACCGGCUGGGUCUUCUGUCCCCUAAGCGUUGUGGAAACUAUUCGCUAAAGGGUGCUCGGGAGGCUACGCCGUAAAACAAACCCAUUUCUAAGGUUGACCUCGGAUCAGGUAGGGAUACCCGCUGAACUUAAGCAUAUCAAUAAGCGGAGGA